UACGUAGGGGGCAAGCGUUGUCCGGAUUUAUUGGGCGUAAAGAGCGCGCAGGCGGUCGAUUAAGUCGAAUGUGAAAGCCCCCGGCUCAACUGGGGAGGGUCAUUCGAUACUGAUCGACUUGAAGGCAGGAGAGAGAAGUGGAAUUCCCGGUGUAGUGGUGAAAUGCGUAGAUAUCGGGAGGAACACCAGUGGCGAAGGCGAGUCCCUGGACAACACCUGACACUGAGGCACGAAAGCUAGGGGAGCAAACAGG
rnacentral:rRNA from 1 species